GUAUAUUGUUGAUUCUAACAAUCGAUUGAUUAUUGAAUCAAAAAGAUUUGAUUGUUGAUUCAACAAUAUUUUAUGUUUAAACAACAAUAUUAUUUUUAUUUCAACAAUUUUUAUUGUUGAGCCGAGUUGCGUCCAUAAAAAUAGCCGUGUAUGUUUACCUUUUAUAUUUGUUCUUUGUUUUAAAAGGUUUUAAACAAAUUAAACGAUUCCUUCGUGGUAGGAAACAAACUGUUUCCACGAGAAGUGAAAAAAAAUGUUUGGUGCAAACAUGAUUGAUAAUGAGGAUCCGGAACCAGAAAAGGAAAGAGAUACACGUAGAUAAGUCGUCUUCAUUCACUCCCGGCUGAACGGAUGAUGAAAAGGCCAGGGCUUUUCUGCAGAGACAUCAGUAUCCUCUACUUCCGUGCCCAGCUUCGCUUCACA